rnacentral:rRNA from 1 species
GACGAACGCUGGCGGCGUGCUUAACACAUGCAAGUCGAACGGAAAGGCCCUGCUUUUGUGGCGUUCUCGAGUGCCGAACGGGUGAGUAACACGUGUGUAACCUGCCCUUGUCUUUGGGAUAACUUCAGGAAACUGGGGAUCAUACCCGAUAGGAGCUCCUGCUGCAUGGUGUGCGUUGGAAAGUUUCGGCGGUUGUGGCUGGUCUCGCGGCUUAUCCGCUUGUUUGUGGGGUAGUGGCUUACCAAGGCUUUGACGGGUAGCCGGCCUGAGAGGGUGACCGGCGACAUUGGGACUGAGAGACGGACCAGACGCCUACGGGAGGCAGUAGUGGGGAAUAUUGCGCAAUGGGCGGAAGCCUGAGGCAGAAACGCCGCGUGCGGGAUGACGUCCUUCUGGUUGUAAACCGAUUUCGCAUGUGACGAAGCGUGAGUGACGGUAAUGGGUAAAGAAGCACCGGCUAACUACGUG